rnacentral:rRNA from 1 species
CAGUCGCCACGGUAAUACGGAGGGAGCUAGCGUUGUUCGGAAUUACUGGGCGUAAAGCGCACGUAGGCGGCUUUGUAAGUCAGAGGUGAAAGCCUGGAGCUCAACUCCAGAACUGCCUUUGAGACUGCAUCGCUUGAAUCCAGGAGAGGUGAGUGGAAUUCCGAGUGUAGAGGUGAAAUUCGUAGAUAUUCGGAAGAACACCAGUGGCGAAGGCGGCUCACUGGACUGGUAUUGACGCUGAGGUGCGAAAGCGUGGGGAGCAAACAGGAUUAGAUACCCGCGUAGUCCCUGUCUCUUAUAA